AGUGAACGCUGGCGGUAGGCCUAACCCAUGCAAGUCGAACGGCAGCACAGUAAGAGCUUGCUCUUACGGGUGGCGAGUGGCGGACUGGUGAGUAAUACAUCUGAAUCUACUUUUUCGUGGGGUAUAACGUAGGGAAACUUACGCUAAUACCGCAUUCGACCUACGGGUGAAAGCAUGGGAUCUUCCGACCUUGCGCGAUUGAAUGAGCCGAUGUCGGAUUAGAUAGUUGGCGGGGUAAUGGCCCACCAAGGCGACGAUCCGUAGCUGGUCUGAGAGGAUGAUCAGCCACACUGGAACUGAGACACGGUCAAGAAUCCUACGGGAGGCAGCAGUGGGGAAUAGUGGACAAUGGGCGCAAGCCUGAUCCAGCCAUACCGCGUGGGUGAAGAAGGCCUUCGGGUUGUAAAGACCUUUUGUUGGGAAAGAAAAGCAGAAGGUUAAUACCCCGCUGUUCUGACGGUACCCAAAGAAUAAGCACCGGCUAACUUCGUG
rnacentral:rRNA from 1 species